AGCAGAGGUGCGAGGUGUUGAACAUUUGAUGUUUAAGUUAACUACUUUGAAUUUUAGGGUUUGAAACUAGUGUCAUGGUUUGAAAUAAAGUGCAGUGUAGCAAAACGCAAGCACUCGAGCAAAAGAACAAUAUUGUGCCCAUGUGGACAUGCAGAGGUACUGGUGGCCAGGUUAUGAGAUGCAGCUUCUUGGAGAACUGCAGAGGCAACAAAACAGUACCCAGUUCUGUGAUACCCUGUUACAAACGGAGGGGAUCUCAGUCCCAACGCAUAGCUGUAUUCUUGCAGCUCUCAGCCCCUACCUGUCCCAGAAGUUGUCGGCCUCCCCGUCUCCUCCAUCAGGACAAAAACGCCAGCUUCAGCUCCAGCCUGUAAAGGCCCAGACCCUGCUGAAGCUGGUGGGUCUUCUAUACUCUGGGGAAGUGGAGGUAAAAGGAAGCGUAGAGCAGAACGAUGUGCUUGCCGUAGCACGUCUCUUUGGAAUCAGAGACCUUGUUAAAGGACACAAAUAUGGGCAGAUGGAGGGGGACCUACAGGAGAAGAGGCAGCUUCCUGGGAGUUGGAAAGAGAACAGUAUUCAAGCAAAAGAGAAUGAAAGGGAGGAAAACAGGAAAAUGCAGGAUGCACAAGUUCAGGCUGAGAUGGCAGGACGGAGAGAUACAGAUACUCCAGCUGAGAAGAGAAGCUGUGUGACCACAGGCACACAGACAGGUGAAAUGUCAGUCUGCAGUUGUGUUCCUUUCUUCAGCCAAGCGGAAACUCCAGAGUCUGUUUCAUCUGUAGCUCAAAAUGUGGAUUUUCCUGUCAUGUUGCAACCCCAAAACAUCACACUUGAUGAACAGUUUUGCUCCACAUCUUGUCCAAUCAUUCCUAGUGUGACCAGUGGAGCUCCCAAAGCUGCACAGUUUAUAUCAGAUCGAACCUCAUGCUGUGUAAUAAACCUAAAGUCAAGUUCAGCUUUAUCCAACGACAUGAUGACCCCUUCCACUUCCCUUAACAAGAACUUAAACUCCCCUACCCCUCCUAAAGACAGUACUUGCCAACAGUCAUAUGAGUGUGGGAACAGCCUACAAACACUGGCUAAGAAAACAACAGGAUCUGAGGACGGACAAACAAGUGGACAUAUGCCUGACAGCAGAGAAAAUGCACAGGAGCCACACUGGGCCAGCAGAGAGGAGAUUCUAGCAGAAGGAAGUGGAAAGUCCACAAAGAAGAGACCUCCGCAUGCAAGUGUAGGGAUAAAGAACCUGACCAAGAUGAAACAGAUGCAACGCACGUUAGAGACCACACAGAUUUCUAUUAAGGUGAAGCUGAGGAGGAGGACUAAAGGAGAAGUGUGGGAGGUGGUGAGCCCACGAGACACAGAUGAAACUUUGUCAGUUCUUACCUCCCACAAAAAGGAUGGCUCCAACCACAAAGAGCCACAGACAAACGCCAAGCCACCUCCCUCCACUGUUGAGCCAGAUGUCCUGAAUCUACAAUGUCAACCCAACAUGUCCUGUAACUGCCAGCCACCCUGCAGCCACUGCAUCACCCCAAACCCAAGAGAUGGGUUUGGCACAGCCCCACUCGCCCCGCCCCAUGGCUCUGUUGAGGACUCUGAUGAGCAAAUAGAGAAGCUGCUGGAGGACAUCAUGAUGGGCCUCAACAUCCUACCCAACUUGGAGAAAGACUGCAAGAAGUCUCAUCCCCUACAACCGAGCCACAACGAUGUAUCGACCAUUUGUCAGGUCCCAGUUACACAGAACGAUGCGGGGCAUUGCCGGAUGCAGGCUUCUGUCAGUGCAGCAGGUUGUGUGUUUUACCAGGAUAUGGGGACACAAAGUGGCCACUGUUCGUCAGAGACAGGUUUGCAUUGUUGCUUGACAGCACAGAACCAGCCUGACACAAGCCUUUCAGCGGUAGAGCUAGACACUGUGCUCAUCCAGCAGCAGCAGUGCCCUCCUCAGUGUCUCUCAUCUGUCAGAUUCAUGGGACACAGAGAUGAAAUGAACUGUGAGGGCAUGCCGCUAUACAAAAGUCAAGAAAGUCUGCAUCCUGAAGCACUCGCAACAAGAUCCGUCAUAGCCCCAGCUUUCUUCUCUGCAGGACAGAAACAGCAUGACCCAGUCUUAAAUGAACUGUCCAGACAAGACAGUCAGCACAUCCUGGAGUAUUUACCCAGUGUGACCAGCACUGAGACACAGUCUUUGUGUACUGACUCAUUACCUUGCAUCGACGAUUUGCGGAUUCCUCAAUGUCUCUCUCCAUUAGAGCCCUGUACUUCAGCAACAAAACAUCAUACUGUCCUCAACCAAGCAAACCUUGGGGAUAAGGUUCAGCCACAGUCCUCUCUCCAUGGACGACCCUGGCUCACAGAAAACUCUGAAGCUCUACAGUUUCCUCUGAGUGACAUCACUCACACGAAAAGUACAUCUUUGCCACAAGGUGACACAGCAGGGGACACUGUAGCACCUAAAAAGAGAAUGAGAAUGUACACAAGUCAUCCACAACAUGCUGUGUCUCUUUCAGCAUACAAGGAUCUGAGACUCGGCGAGAGAGCAAAAGGUCAAAUCAGCUUGAGUGUUUGUUCAGUCAGUUUGUCAAGCAACAAUGUUCUGGCGAAGGAAAGAGAAAUGGCCACCAGCUCUUUAACCAGAUUUAUAGAGAAAUCAAAUCAACCGUCAUUCUUCACAGAAAGACUGGAAGAGCAAACCAAAGAGUUUGGAGCAGACACUGACCAAGCUCGGAUCAGGACCAGGGGCUUUAUGAAAAAAAUUCAUGAGUCACAGAGUAGCACAAGCGCUGAAAAAUGUUCAGUUCCAACGUCUGUAGCCUGCAGAUCUGAGAUUGUGAAUAAUGGAGAAACAUUUCCCCGACGGAAACGUGGAAGGCCCCGAAAAGCAAAGGUUGAAGAGCUUACUCCUCCAGACAGAUAUCCUGCUGUGAUUGAGAUAAGCAGCAACAGCGAAAGUCAGGAGCAAACUGACAAGGAUUUGUCUAAGGAGGAUUUAGAAGAAGGGGACAAAACAAAGAGAUGGUGCAUAAAAAAGACUUGGAGCAAAGGCACAGAAGUGGAGGUGAAGAGCAUAAGCACAGAGAGCCCUAAAGCUAAGCCUGAUGCAAACAAUAACAACAUAAUUCCAGCUGUAAAAAAAAUAGGGACAGCAAAACGGCCACGACUGACCACUCUGAAGGAGUUUCAAAGGCUUAUCAAACUGCGAAAGUCAAAAAUAAGGAAGUCAAAAGAAACCCAGGAAACAAACAGAACAGAAAGGAAUGCAGCAGGUGAAGAGAUAGCUAGUGCAGACAGCACAUGUAAUCAAUCAAGUAAGGAACAUCACAGUCACAUUUACACAGAAUCAGCAGGUGGGGAGAAGUCAGAGCAAGACAACACAGAAAGCUCCACCUGUAUGGACACCAGUUUAUUUGGGGACAGUCCAGUGUCUCCCUGUAAUGUGGUGCAAGAAGAGAUGCCACAGUCAGCACAUGAGAGGGAGCCGUCACUGAAGAAUCCAGAUGAAGAAAAGUCUUUUCCCGUGCCGUCAAAUACCACACAGGAGACGGCCAUCAAAACUAAAGGCUCGUUUCACAUUGACACUCACCUGCCUCAAGACAACAGACUGCCAUCAGAUGAUGACUUGUGUCCCUGGACUGCUGACAGAACCGGUCCUCACUUGCCAGAUGAUGGUGGGAUGAGCAGGACCUCAGUCUGUGAUCAUGAAGAAGAGGAGGAAGUGGAGGUGGAUGUUCUGCUUUUCUCCCCGGUUAGAGCGCCUGAGAUCAGAGAGUGUGAGGACACACUUAACAUGGAAGUAAGUCCAGAUGAAGAAGAGGAGGAUGUGAACGAGAUUGAUGUGACUGGAGAUGAGGCAGAGUAG
rnacentral:lncRNA from 1 species